rnacentral:rRNA from 1 species
UUCCGGUUGAUCCUGCCAGAUCCGACUGCUAUCCGGGUAAGACUAAGCCAUGCAAGUCGAAUGGAACAGCAUGUUCCAUGGCGAACUGCUCAGUAACAAGUGAUUAACUUACCCUUCAGUGGAGCAUAACCUCGGGAAACUGAGGCUAAUUCUCCAUAGUUGGAAAUGCCUGGAAGGGUUUUCCAUCAAAAGAUAUUCCCAAAUGCGGGAUGUUCACUGAAGGAUAGGAUCGCUUUCGAUUAUGGUAGUUGGUGAGGUAAUGGCUCACCAAGCCUAUGAUCGAUAAGGGCCGUGAGAGCGGUAGCCCUGAGAUGGAUACUGAGACAAUGAUCCAGGCCUUACGAGGCGCAGCAGGCGCGAAACCUUUACAAUGCACGAAAGUGUGAUAAGGUUACCCGGAGUGCUAAGAGAACAACUUUUAGCUGUUAUAGGUGUGUAAAUAACCCUAUGAGAAAGGAGAGGGCAAGGCUGGUGCCAGCCGCCGCGGUAAAACCAGCUCUUCAAGUGGUCGGGAAUAUUAUUGGGCUUAAAGUGUCCGUAGCCGGUUUGAUAAGUUCCUGGUUAAAUCUGGUAGCUUAACUAUCAGUUAGCUAGGAAUACUAUUUUACUAGAGGGUGGGAAAGGUCUGGGGUACUCCAGGGGUAGCGGUGAAAUGCGAUAAUCCUUGGGGGACCACCAGUGGCGAAGGCGCCAGACUGGAACACGCCUGACGGUGAGGGACGAAAGCCAGGGGAGCGAACGGGAUUAGAUACCCCGGUAGUCCUGGCCGUAACGAUGCGUGCUAGUGUUGAUAGCUAUGAGCUGUUCCAGUGCCGUAGGAACUGUAGCGCGCCGCCUGGGAGUACGCUCGCAGUAUGAACUAAGGA